CCUACGGGCGGCAGCAGUGGGGAAUAUUGGGCAAUGGAGGAAACUCUGACCCAGCAACGCCGCGUGAAUGAUGAAGGUCUUCGGAUUGUAAAGUUCUUUUAUCAGGGAAGAAGAAAGUGAUGUAACCCUUGGAAUAACCCCCGGCUAACUAGUUGCCAGCCGCCGCGGUAAUACGUAGGAGGAAAGCGUUAUCCGGACUGACUGGGCGUAAAGGGGGCGGAGGUGGUUGGACAAGUUGGUAGCGUAACCCCGAGGCUCAACCGCGGAACUGCUACCAAAACUGUCGUUCUUGAGUGCAGGAGGGGUAACUGGAAUUCCUAGUGUAGCGGUGGAAUGCGUAGAUAUUAGGAGGAACACCAGUGGCGAAGGCGAGUUGCUGGACUGUAACUGACGCUGAGGCGCGAAAGCGUGGGGAGCAAACAGGAUUAGAUACCCCAGUAGUC
rnacentral:rRNA from 1 species